CGCGUCCAGCCCUGACCCGCGCUCACCCCUCCCAUUCAUCUCCCUCUUCCUCUCUCUCCUCUCCUCCCCAUCGCCCGUUUUCUGCGUCGCGCCGCCGUCGUCUCCGUCCUUCCCUCCUUUCCUCCCACCCGGCGAUUGCUCGGACGCCGUCGUCACCGCCCAAAUCAUCCUCUGCCGCGAGUCACACCGCGAGCCUGGACGGGGAAGGCGGGGAUUUGGAGGAUGGGAGGCGGAGGCGACGCCAGAGGCUAAGGAGGCGGUAGACCGAGGGAAGGUAUGUGCGGCAGCGGGAAGGAGGGGAGGGGAGGAGCGGGCGCCAGCGCCGCUGGGAUGUCGCCACCCUGGCCGCCACCGCCUGCGUGCGGCGCCCUUGCAACUGCCAGCAGUGCCCCUACCAUGUGCUUGCCAACGCUUGCGCGAGCUCGCCCUGUUCGCGGCCCCUCCCUGUGCCACAGGGACCCCACCGGAGCUCGUCGCCGUCGGACCGCGCUACCUGAAGCUCCUCCAUGACGGAUCUGGCGUAGAAGAGGGGGAAGAGGAGGGGCCGCGGCCACGCCCUCGAGCCCGUCGCAGCUGCCGCCACGCCAUUCGACGCCCCAAGCCGCAGCCUCCCUCGUCCCCGCCCGCGCGUGGACGCCUGCUCGCGUCCUAAGCCUGCGUCGUGUGCCGCUGGCUGCACGGCACGCGGCCUUCCACCACGCGCUGCUCUCCACCCCCACCGCGGGCCUCGCCCGCCUGCGAGCGGCCCCGGCACCUGCGCGCUCGGCAGCACGGAGCUCCGCACGCGCGACCGCUGGCGCAGCGGCACCCGGACCUCGCCGUCGCGGUCGCUACUCUGUCCCUCAACUCCUCAGCCAGGACGAACCGCCGGCGAUUCGACGUGGUAGCAAGAGGGGAAAGAAACAGCGACUAAAUGGACAGGUAAAGAGCUUUGCUCUGAAAUGCUUCUUCAUUUUCAUGAGAAGAUCUAUAAGGAAAGAUUACCCUGGAGCCGAGCGCCUGUUCAAUACUGCCUUUUCUGCUUGCCAUAUCUAUUUGGUAGUGGGCUUGGUGGAGAUUGGCCCCUCUGAGGGGUAAUAAGCAUUUUGCUCUCAAGAAGCUAGAUUCUGUUAUGUCAUCUUGGUGGCCUCUGGGAUGGAUGCAUCCAGAAAUAGCACUACAUUUGGAUGGUGAUGGCAAGUCGGAAACCUAACAAGGCUACAUACUGAGUUGGACCCUACUCUGACAUAUCCCUAUAUGUUCCGAGCUGCAUCUUUUAAGAAAAGGCAAGGCGUUGAAGCUGCAUUGAUGGAGAUCAACCAGAUCCUGGGAUUCAAGCUCGUACUAAGGUUCUGUUGCUACCUUGCUCUUAAGGAUUAUAGAGCUGCCUCAUGUUAUGUACAGGCAAUUAUUGAGAAACCAUUUGGUUUUACUGGUUUGUCCUCAGACCAGUAACACAAUCUCUAAUGUCAAGAUUUGAGGAGAACAAAAUUUACUGGUGGUACACUUCAAGGUUCAUUUUAGCAUGUGCUUUAUUAUUUUGCAUAUACAUUGCGAGUAGGAAAAAACACAGAUGCAUAUAUAAAAAAUCAUAUGAAUGGGUCAUGCAGGCACAGGUAACUGCAAGCAACAAAAUGAAUCUGCCAUUUUGCAGUUCUGCUGGUUAAAAACUGGCCAAUUAACCAGGGCAUUAUAAAUAUAUUUUAAAAUUAGAUAUUUAAUAAAGCUAGGUAUACAUAAGAUCCUGACAUCAUGUCCAUAACAGUGUUGCUUGAAACUAAACACUUAUGCUAUCCUAAGUGUUUACUUCAGAUUUAAAGAUGAAAACGAUGCUUUGAUGCUUGAAUCCAAUUCUGAAAUGCUGUUGUAAGGUAUUUCAAAUACUAGAUUGCCCGCAUUUCCAUCAAGCUCCUUUACUAGACUAUAAUAUACAUAGGAAAUCUGUAAUUUUUAGUGCCAUUGAAAGAUUUAUUCCUGAAAAUUUGUAGCACCAGACAUCCUUUUUCUCAUAUGCUUGCUAAAUCAAGUGAUUGAAUUACCAUAUCCUCCUCCAAAACUUGAUUGGUAACCGGACCUCUUUGUUUCACAUCAGGAUUUCUCAGGGAUACUCCAGUUUGGCAAAUUCUGGCUUCAGGUGGAGGUGGAUUUCUCGUCGCACCAUGGGGCUGCUAGUGAGGCGCCGGUGCAAAAUCCAAGCCCGUAGUAAGAAUCACACAAAAUCCAAGCCCGUAGUAACAAGGCUUGUUUGCUAUAUAUGUUUUCCAUGUAUAAAAAAACUCCCUUCCCCUUGUCGAAUGCCGAAAGAAAGUCCCUUGGAUUUGUAUAAGCCAAGCUAGCCAAUGUUUCUUUGAACUUAUAUUUUGGGUGGAAUAUCGAGAAUUAAUUUGUUGCUGACAAAACUUCAAGGGAUACAGAAGUUGUUGCUUUUCAGUGAUCAAACAAAUGUUACCAGUCUAUUAUGAACUUAUGGUUCUAGACUCUAGAGGAGCUAGCGGUAUCCACUCAAAUUGAUGUGAAUGUGGCAUGUGAUUCGAGUUUUAGGCGAAGGAACUCGAUUUUGGAAGGGAUAUCAAUCUCACUGUGUGAUGGAUCAAUUACUUCACGGGAUAAUCUUAGUGGCUCACCCUGCCAACAAGAUGAUACAACUCAGAUUGGUGAAACAAAUGGGUAUUCAUGGCCAUACUUUCCAAAGGAUAUCUGGCGUCUUAUACAUUCGUUAAUGCCAUUGCGAGAUGCUGCCCGCACAGCUUGGGUGUGUCGUGGCUUUCUAUAUUCCUGGAGGAGCUUCCCCAACAUCACUUUCAGUAAUCAAACAUUGGGAUUGACUGAAAAUGCUCGUGGAAAGGAUGAAAUAGCAAGAGAUUUUACCAGAAAAGUUGACCGCAUUAUGAAGAAUCACUUAGGCACUGGUGUGAAGACACUCAAGCUUUUGGGUGCACCAAAUUACAAUAGGAGGUACCAUCGUUUUCUCGACAGUUGGCUCGAGAAGGCUAUAACACCAGGCAUUGAGGAACUCAACCUUGCUCUGGCUGAACAUUUCGUUGCAAAGAAGUACAAGUUCCCAUGCUCAAUUUUGUCGAGUGGGAAUGGAGACUCCAUUCGCCAUCUUUCUCUUGACGAUUGUGCCUUUCGUCCAACAGUUGGGUUUUGGUUGUUUGAGAAGCCUGGCGAGACUAGACAUGUUCUAUGUGUAUAUUAAAGGGGAUGAGUUAAAGUGCCUUCUUUCCAAUUCUUUGGCUUUGGAAUCCUUGGAUCUCGCCUUUUGUUGUGAGAUAGUUUAUGUGAAUAUACCUUGCCUUUAGCGGCUAAGUAGCUAACCCACCUGUCAGUGACAGGUUGCGACAAGCUGCGACUGAUAGAAAGCAAAGCUCCAAAUCUCUCCAAUUUUCGCUUUGACAGUGAUCGCCACGUACAAGUAUCACUUGAAAAAGCAUUGCAGGUGAAGAAGCUAUACAUCAACUGUUAUGUCCCUGUUUGUGCGCUGAGCUUGCAUCCAGCACGCAAAAUCUUGGAGCUGGUUUACAUCCAAGCAAUAAGAUGGUCAACACACCGUUGGUACCUAGCAAAUUUCUGUACCUCGAGUGCUUGAGUAUAACUCUUGGAGGAUCGACCAUUGCUCAGAGCUUUGAUUAUUUUUCUAUGGCUUCUUCUCCUUCCUUGGAGACUUUCAUCUUGGAUGCAAGUUUGUUUUCCUUCUGAGAUUUGAGCAACCAUGAUGGAACCCUUAACUGAAGGUUGUCUUUAAUUUCCAUCUCUAGGUAUCACAGCGACUCAUGGAGCAUCCCAUAUAUGACAAGAUUCGUUUUUUCUCCCGAGCGAGGAGUUGGGUCUACCUAACAUGUGAAAUGCUCAGAGCCUGGCUGCGCUAACAUGUCACAUGUCACACUCACAUCCUCGGCUAUGCAUGAGGAGGAAGUAGAAGAAAGCUUUCGCUCUGUUUUGGCUACAGCACAUGCUUUUAUUGGUUUGGAGCCUUGCAGUUGAUUCCCACCUGUUGCUUCCUCUACAGUGUGGCAAUUGAACAUUACGGUCAAAUCUCCAUAGCUAAA